rnacentral:hammerhead_ribozyme from 1 species
CAACUGAUGACGAGUUCAUCAUAGGACGAAACAGCUGUCCAGUGC